CACACACCCAUGUGUAUAGGAUCCCAAAGGAUCACCAUUAAAUUUGGCACAGAUCUUUAAAAAAGUUAUCACAUGGGUGUGGGACUUGAUUUUUCUAGAGAUUUAUGCUAAAUUUAAUGGUAAUCUUUUGAGGUCCUACACACAUGGGUGUGGG
rnacentral:pre_miRNA from 1 species